CCUACGGGUGGCAGCAGUGGGGAAUAUUGGACAAUGGGGGCAACCCUGAUCCAGCCAUGCCGCGUGUGUGAAGAAGGCCCUCGGGUUGUAAAGCACUUUCAGUGAGGAAGAACGCCUGGUGGUUAAUACCCAUCAGGAAAGACAUCACUCACAGAAGAAGCACCGGCUAACUCCGUGCCAGCAGCCGCGGUAAUACGGAGGGUGCGAGCGUUAAUCGGAAUUACUGGGCGUAAAGCGCGCGUAGGUGGCUUGAUAAGCCGGUUGUGAAAGCCCCGGGCUCAACCUGGGAACGGCAUCCGGAACUGUCAAGAUAGAGUGUAGGAGAGGAAGGUAGAAUUCCCGGUGUAGCGGUGAAAUGCGUAGAGAUCGGGAGGAAUACCAGUGGCGAAGGCGGCCUUCUGGACUGACACUGACACUGAGGUGCGAAAGCGUGGGUAGCAAACAGGAUUAGAUACCCGAGUAGUC
rnacentral:rRNA from 1 species